CAGUAGCCACGGUAAUACGUAGGUGGCAAGCGUUGUCCGGAAUUAUUGGGCGUGAAGGGCUCGCAGGCGGUUUCUUAAGUCUGAUGUGAAAGCCCCCGGCUCAACCGGGGAGGGUCAUUGGAAACUGGGAAACUUGAGUGCAGAAGAGGAGAGUGGAAUUCCACGUGUAGCGGUGAAAUGCGUAGAGAUGUGGAGGAACACCAGUGGCGAAGGCGACUCUCUGGCCUGUAACUGACGCUGAGGAGCGAAAGCGUGGGGAGCGAACAGGAUUAGAUACCCCUGUAGUCCCUGUCUCUUAUAC
rnacentral:rRNA from 1 species